UCAGUUCCCUCCGCGUCAACUGUUGAAACCUGCUCCCUUCGCAAUGAGGUCUGACCGGAAUCCUCUCGACGCCUUUACAACCGACUCCGAAGCUGACGACUUUGUCAUGGAUAAGUUCCACUAAUGAGACCACAGCACCGGCCCUGGAAUGAACCGCCAAUCUCUGCUACUUUGUUGGCAGUAAGAAUACACGGAUGCAUCGGUUUCCUUCGUGACGAAUUGGUUUCUGCUUGAAAGCACAUUAUUUUGUUGGUGUAAAAUCCUACUUGUUGUAAUUCCACAGAGGUUGAAUGACAAAAAGGCAAAUGCUCAUUUAAGCAUACUCGCAAUAUCUUGGCAUUCCUUUCGUGUGAUUUACUUGGAUGAUUAGAAGUGAGAUUAACCUGUUUGUACCGUUGUUUUUUUUUCAACCCAAUGCCGGUUGCAGAGCACCGGAAUACUGAGUGAGUGUGAUGAGCAACGCAAGUGAAAUAAAUCAAAGAGAGAACAAAAAAAAGAAUCGUCCAAGUGACAUUGUAGUCAAACAGGAUCCUAAGAACAUUGUCUCAAACAGGAGAUGGGGAAAUAAUGUAUAUAUUUUUCUACCCAGUUUCUUAAAGCUCAGAUUGCCCACAACGGUUUGGCUCUUCAUGUCUGGAUGUUGAGAGAUCCUCCUCUGAAACUUCUGCAGCCAGCCUUCCCACUAAAGAAAAAAUGAAAUUGGCUGUUCAGAAAAUUGAAGAGUUAUAUUUGAAAAACCCAUGGCAGGUUUUUCAGAAGAAGUGAAUAAUCAACAGAAUGUAAUGACACUUAUUUGGUUGGGUGUACGUAUUAGGGCGGUGCCAGGAUGCUACAUCUUGAAAGCGCAGCAGAUAAGGCUGAAAUGCUAAAGUAUCACAAGGGACAGGAGGGGAAAUGUUCAUUUUUUUCAAGGUAGCCAAAGUUCUGCAGAUGUCUAGCAAUAGAAUAGGUUUUUCAGUUCAGUAUGGUGAUAUUGUAUUGUAAACCAACUAUGUACAUAACAAGUACAGUAUGGCCUGAAUCAAAGCCUUUAUUUUCCAAAACAUAUUUUUGUGUCACACUGUAAACCUUGUCUCCAUAAUAUCAUGUAAAUUGGAUUAAUAGAGAACAGGACUAAUGUCAUCACGUCUCCCUUUGUUGAAUACCAGCCACAGUCCUUUGUUGCGUAUCAUUCCUUGUGUUAUCCUUUGUUGCUGUCUCUGCUGUCAACUACAGCAUGAAUACAAAGAUGUGUAAAAAAUAAACAGAAUAGAAAUAAUGAAA